rnacentral:rRNA from 1 species
GAUGAACGCUGGCGGCGUGCCUAACACAUGCAAGUCGAGCGAACAGACGAGGAGCUUGCUCCUCUGACGUUAGCGGCGCACGGGUGAGUAACACGUGGAUAACCUACCUAUAAGACUGGGAUAACUUCGGGAAACCGGAGCUAAUACCGGAGAAUAUAUUGAACCGCAUGGUUCAAUAGUGAAAGACGGUGUUGCUGUCACGUAUAGAUGGAUCCCGGCGGCAUUAGCUAGUUGGGAGGGUAACGGCUUACCAAGGCGAGGAUGCGUAGCCGACCUGAGAGAGUGAUCGGCCACCUUGGAACUGGAACACGGUCAAGACUCCUACGGGAGGCAGCAGUAGGGAAUCUGCGGCAAUGGGCGAAAACCUGACGGAGCAAGGGCGCGUGAGUGAUGAAGGUCUUCGGAGCGUAAAACUCUGUUAUUAGUGAAGAACAAAUGUGUACGUAGCUGUGGACGUCUUGACGGUACCUAGUCAAGAAGCAACGGCUAACUACGUG